CCUACGGGAGGCAGCAGUGAGGAAUAUUGGUCAAUGGGAGAGAUCCUGAACCAGCCAAGCCGCGUGAGGGAAGACGGCCCUAUGGGUUGUAAACCUCUUUUGUCGGAGAACAAAACCCGGGACGAGUCCCGGACUGCGUGUAUCCGAAGAAAAAGCAUCGGCUAACUCCGUGCCAGCAGCCGCGGUAAUACGGAGGAUGCGAGCGUUAUCCGGAUUUAUUGGGUUUAAAGGGUGCGUAGGCGGUCUGUUAAGUCAGCGGUAAAAGUGCGGGGCUCAACCCCGUCGAGCCUUUGAAACUGGCAGACUUGAGUGGGCGAGAAGUACGCGGAAUGCGCGGUGUAGCGGUGAAAUGCAUAGAUAUCGCGCAGAACUCCGAUUGCGAAGGCAGCGUACCGGCGCCAGACUGACGCUGAGGCACGAAAGCGUGGGGAUCGAACAGGAUUAGAUACCCGUGUAGUC
rnacentral:rRNA from 1 species